UGUGCAAUUUAGAGAAGUACAAAACGAGAUAAGAAUUUGAAUCAAUUUGUCUUCUAUUUUAAUAAAUAUGUUUAAUGUAAGCAAUUUCAUUGAAAUGGCUGAUGAUGUUAUGCAUUUACAAAAUAAUGUAAAUGCUAUAAGGUGUAUUAAAAAUAAUCAUCGCCGAAAUGAAAGAGAGAUGAAACUAAUUGUCAACAAAAUGUAAGAAGAGCUGGUAUACGAGUUGAAGAUAACUUGAACCCCAACAUUGAAAGGGUGGUUAAGCGAGUUAAAAAUAAUCGUCUUAUGAAUGCUCGAGAUAGAACUAGACGAGAUUAAAUUAAUCAACUACGAAAUGUUAGAAAUGCUGCUCGACAAGCAGAAAAUAAUAUGAACCCAAAUGUGGACAAUGCAGUUAUGCAAAUUGAAAAUAAUCAACACAGAAAUGAUAGAGAUAGAGGUAGGAGAGAUGAAAUUAUUCUUCGCCAAAAUGCUUGAAAUGCUGCUAGACCAGGAAGAAUGUAUUUUAUAGGAAGAGGUAAUACUAUUCCAGAUUGUAAUUAUUUAGGAGAAAUGAAUCAAAUUUGUCAGCACUGUGGUGCUAAGAAAUUUUCAGAUGAAACACAUUUUCUAUGUUGCCAUAAUGGUAAGGUAGCUUUAUUUCCACUUUCACCAUUUACACAAGCUUUACAGGAUUUAUUUACAGGGAGUUAUGUAGAUUGCAAUGCUAAUGGUAAUUUUUUAAAACAUAUUCGAAAUUAUAAUGCAUGUCUUUCUUUCGCUUCUUUUAAAGCAAAUGAGUUUCAACCAGUAAACCAUUGUUCUCUAUGUUUUAAAAUAUAUAUCAGAUUUAUCAUCGUGUGGGUAAUCUUAUGCCAGAUCAAGAUAUUUCACCAAUAUAUUUUCAACUAUAUUUAUACAUAUGAUCAACUUGCAGCAGUAAAUUUUAGAAUUCAACAACGUGGUAACGAUCUUUGUUUACUUGAUUUAAUGUUUCAACUGCAAACUAUAAUUGCUUAACAAAGUCCAAUUUCCUCUUGCAUUUAAAAACAUAUGCUCAAGUAGAAGUUGAAGAAAUUUGUCAAGCAGCUAUAGAAGGUUGCUCAGCUUCUUUUGUAAAAAUGUCUUUACUUUAAGGGGGUGAUAGACAUCGCUAUAAUCUACCUUCACACAAUGAAUUUGCUGUUGAAAAUUUACUAGCGAUUGUUUGUUUUUCUGUUUAGUUAACAUCAAUGAAAAAAGAGUUAAAAACUUUAUGAAGGAAGCGAGGUGAUUAGUGUCUGGUAGAAGCAUAAAUGCUUCAUCUUCCGUCACUUGUGAUAAUGUUGAGGUUAUGCUUUAUAUUUUGAAUAAAUAAAAUUCCAAAUAUUUAUACUUUUUUAAUAUAGUCUUCUAUUUGUAGUUUUAGAUUCGUUAAUAUUUGAGCGAUAUCAAAGUUAUCGCUCCCAACACCCAGGGUCUCUCUCAGAGAGGUACUUCAAUAAGUGGUGUAGAAAUGGCGGUAUGGAUGAGUCUUCCUUCAAAUGGAGGGAUCAUCCAUAUCGGGGUGUUGGAAGACACCGAAGAAAAAGCGGCUACCAAAAAGUUGUAAAUAACUUCUAUCAGUGGAGAUAUUUAUAACUUUUUUGUUGCCGCCUUUUCUUUGGUUAUUUUUUUUUUAUAUAUAAAAUUUUGUAGUUUGUUUUUUUCUUUAAUUUGUAACUUCUUUUUUAAUAAUAUAUUAUGUUGUAUAUUUGAAUUGCUUUGGUCUUUUUUAAUUAAAACUUUAAUAAUUUUUUCGCAAAUUAAACUUAAAUAUAGUUAAACUGAUUCAUUAUCUAAUUAUCAUUAUAAUGAUGCAACAUGCUUUUGUUAAAAAUAAUUUAUUAGUAGUUUCAUUUAUUAAACUCACUGCUUUUAAAAUUUACUA